rnacentral:rRNA from 1 species
CCAUGGCUACGGCUGACGCAGCGACGCCGCGUGGGGGAUGAAGCUUUUCGGAGUGUAAACCCCUUUCGACCCGGACGAAUACCUCGCAAGAGGGGUGACGGUACGGGUAUAAGAAGCCCCGGCUAACUACGUGCCAGCAGCCGCGGUAAUAACGUAGGGGGCCAGCGUUGCUCGGAAUUACUGGGCGUAAAGGGUCCGUAGGCGGUGUGGCAAGUCGGGAGUGAA